CAUCCUCUCUCUUCUUUCCUACCCAACAUCACUCACCAUCUCUGUCAUCCUAAACCUCCCAAUCAUUGCCCUAACAGUCAUGGUUGUGCUGCUCGGUCGCCUUAGAAAAUUAUACGACAACAACCUUCCCUACCCCACAUCUACACCAAAGUCAAGUUGAACCCUUCUCGGGUUUAUUCACCUUCUUCCCUACCCAACAUCACUCACCAUCUCUGUCAUCCUAAACCUCCCAAUUGUUGCCCUAACAGUCAUGGUUGUGCUGCUCGGUCGCCUUAGAAAAUUAUACGACAACAACCUUCCCCACCCCACAUCUGCACCAAAGUCAAGUUGAACCCUUCUCGGGUUUAUUCACCUUCUUCCCUACCCAACAUCAUUCACCAUCUCUGUCAUCCUAAACCUCCUAAUUGUUGCCCUAACAGUCAUGGUUGUGCUGCUCGGUCGCCUUAGAAAAUUAUACGACAACAACCUUCCCCACCCCGCAUCUACACCAAAGUCAAGUUGAACCCUUCUCGGGUUUAUUCACCUUCUUCCCUACCCAACAUCACUCACCAUCUCUGUCAUCCUAAACCUCCCAAUUGUUGCCCUAACAGUCAUGGUUGUGCUGCUCGGUCGCCUUAGAAAAUUAUACGACAACAACCUUCCCCACCCCCACAUCUACACCAAAGUCAAGUUGAACCAUUCUCGGGUUUAUUCACCUUCUUCCCUACCCAACAUCACUCACCAUCUCUGUCAUCCUAAACCUCCCCAAUCGUUGCCCUAACAGUCAUGGUUGUGCUGCUCAGUCGCCUUAGAAAAUUAUACGACAACAAC
rnacentral:lncRNA from 1 species